CACGUAGGCGGCGCGGCCAGUCAGAGGUGAAAGCCCCGGGCUCAACCUGGGAAUUGCCUUUGAUACUGCCGUGCUAGAGUCCAUCAGAGGGUGGCGGAAUAUCCAGUGUAGAGGUGAAAUUCGUAGAUAUUGGAUAGAACACCAGUGGCGAAGGCGGCCACCUGGGAUGGUACUGACGCUGAGGUGCGAAAGCGUGGGGAGCAAACA
rnacentral:rRNA from 1 species